CUAAUACUCCCUCCGUUCGGAAUUACUUGUCACAAAAAUGAAUAAAAAUGAAUGUAUCUACAACUAAAAUACAUCUAGAUACAUUAAUUUCUUGGACGAGUAAUUCCGAACGGAGGGAGUAUAAU
rfam:Triticum aestivum genome assembly, contig: Triticum_aestivum_CS42_TGACv1_scaffold_060292_1BS